AGUGAGCUUGUUUAAUUCAUGACGUUCCAUGGGCAACAAAUGUAAAAUAUGGUAAUACAAUUAAUCCCAAAUUGAGUUAGAUAAAAAGAAAAAUAACAUGCAUCAAAGAUCAUUCAGUAAUGACUGUGGGAAAAGUUUAUUAAAUGGCCUUAAGUUAUGAGAAUAGAAAGGCUGAAAAAGAGUUCCAAAGGCUUUCUGGCCACCUAUUGCGGCAGUAGUUUGACAUCACUCACCAGAGGAAGACGUUAUUGAGAGCCAUCAUGGAUGGUUCCGUCUUCCCUCGAGAGAGGAAGACGGAUAUAUAUCCGUUCUUCCCUUGACGGGUUCCUACUCACCUCACUCAACUAUCUCAUCAUCAACAGGACGUACUUACCAGAGCUAUUUAACAUAGCCUUCGUCCUCAUUUAACACUCAUAGCUACAGUUGUUAAAUUAUGAUUGUGUUGCUGGAGGUUCCCCAAGCUCUUGAAGGUGAAGAAUAUAAUGGAAAAGAGACGUGACCGAUCGCCCAAGCGGCUAACAAGCCGAUCAGUGGCGAAGAGGAUAAAAGUAUUAGUUAAGGAGUUGGAUUCUACCGGUGAUACUUCAAACCUCUGUGUCCUGGUCACAAUGUUUCACUUCUGUAAUAUUUCUUUAAAGAUAACUAAAUGAUUAAGUCAUGUCUAAGGCAUUAGUCUGAAGGACACUUAUUGUUAGAUGAUGUUGUGUAGGGUAACUGUUAAGAGACCGAGUGGCUGUAAACAAACCCCAUGCUCCAAGCACCGCAUUUGGCGCAGAAUUUAAAGGUAUCGCGCUUAAUUUAGUGAACUAGUUCGCUAAAUUGAGCGAAAAUAACGGAAGGUCGAUCUAGCAUAAAUUUUGAUUUAACGGAAAUGGGUGGCUCGAAUUAGUUCAUUAAAUUGAGAAAAUACUGUACAUAUAGGUAAACCUCCACUUACAAUGGGGUUACUUUCCACAAUACCACAUCACAAAUCAAAAUACUGUAUUGUAAAUUGAGGUCAUUAUAACAUGGAGUUCAAUGGAAUACGUUUCCCAGCCAGUCCGACACAGAUGUAUCACUGAAAAAACCAAAUUUCUACACUAAUAAAAUAAAUAGAAAACAAACAACACUCACCACACCACAUCAUUAAGAACAAGCCGGGCCGCAACACAAUGCCAAGCUUUGCCUUCCUAGAUGCAGGAACCUUCAGCACCAACUUGCUAGACAUUUUCAAAGUUAUACUGCUCACUUCAUAGUCACUUGUCACAAAAACAGCAAAAGUACUUUACAAUCACACUAAACAUGAGGAAUAAAUAAAAAUAACAAUAGAUCAAUAAAAAGAAAAAAUACUGCAUUAACAUUUGGAAAUCAUUUCAUGGAACACGAGAGAACAGCUGAGAGAUCCCCCCGCGCCACUCCCCCACUCUGAGAGCUAACGCCAGUGCACGUAAGAAAUGUUUAUUUCCUUUAUGUUUUUGACCUUAUGAUAAUUAUUAAAAAAACAAAAAUAAAAUUGCACAUUCUGUAUAAAUGAUUGCGUGUGCAUGUAACAUAGAGAAAAAAAAUAAUGAAGAAAAUUAUGAUAAUGUAUUUUUCCCUACUGAGUCACCUCCUGGGCUGAUGUGUCACCUUUUUGGAUGCUGAUCACACAAAUUGAUUUCUGAAAGAACCUCUUCUCUGAUUAUACAAUAUUAUCAUCUCUUCAUACAAGUCUCCCAUUAAUUCUGAAAUUUUGAGGCAUAUAACUGAAGUAUUUGGUACCCUUAUAUACCUGUGGCAUUUUGUAAUUCUAGCCUCCCUGUCUUACCCCCCUUUAUGACCACUAACAUGAAGACACAGUGGGUUUUGGAUCAAUCUUCAAACAUGUUUAGGAAGGGUUGACAAGGUUACUCACAGCAUCGGCCAUAUACACAACAUAUCCUGACAAUACCAUGUAAAGACCCUCUGGCUCUCUACAGAAGGUGCUGCAGAUAAUUCAAUGUCUUGUGGGUUGUUAAAAAAUUAUACAUACAUAAUGUCAUCUUUUCUUGUUAGUCAUAUAUUUAAACAUCUAUAGCUAAAAUGAAGGGAAAUAAUAUUGUAAAGUAAGUCAUUUUUUACACAAUAUAUUUUAGUGCUCAUCAAAACAAUAAAUGAAGUGACUCCUACAAGACUAUGGACAAGUCCUGUAGACCAUCUCCCAACAUCUCAAGGCCUCAAUUCUUUGCAUUUUCUAAAAGCUGUUGAUAACUUCAAUUCCAAAUACAAUAAAAGUGAAAAUAACAUCAUACCUAUUAAAGAGGCCAACAAAUUAUUAUACAUAGUAAUUUAUGGAAAUGCUACAUCAUCUUUUCACUGUCAUUUAGUACUUGAUUAAGUUAAUAUCAAAAAAGAAAAACUAUUUUGUAAACCAAUUCAAUAACCCCAAUUAAUGAUUAAUUCUAUUUACUCAAAUAAUUAAACUAUUCUCCCAAGAUAAGAACAGUAUAAAAAUAGAAAACUGUCAGUGUGCUGUUCUUGUAUGUGAUCAAUUUAUUAAUAAUUAUAAGAUGCUACAUGGGUUCAGGGCCAAUAUCUGUCUCUCCUUACAACAGAAUAUUGUGCAUAAUUGGAUUUCCUAUUACUUGACGCUAUGCAGAAAGUAAUUAAUAUACCACACAAAUAUACAUAAAAAAAGACAGAUUGUUACAAAGUUUUAACAUUAUGGAAUGCAAGGUAUGGAAAGUGUGUCUGCAGUACUGUGAAACCUUUCUUCAUUGUCUGUGUAGGUGAAGUAAAAAAAUUACUUUAGCAUACAAUUCGUGGAUCACACACACACACACACACAGUCAUAACGUGUAACUCUUAGUGAUGACAACGAUACGUAACAUUGCACAACAAUCACUGUCUUGUCAGUAACAUGAAGAUAUAACUAGAGAUCUGUGGCCAGGGAACAGGUCUGGGUGAGAAAAUAAAUACAAUAUACACACAAGGGCAUCACCUCUAUUGUAUCUGUUAAGAGUGAAGAGGGUGAGAUAGAGUAGUGACUGGGUGUGAUGAGUCAUGAGCAAAGAGGGAGGAGAAGGUUGUGUGGGAGUUAUCACACCUGGGAAAGUACAUUAUAGUAUGUGUACAAAAGAUGAUGUAUAGAGGAAUGAAAGAUGUGCUAAGACGUCUCUCCUCUUAAGUCACCAUACAUCAGAUACAGGUAAGCAAACACCGCAGACUCCUGAUUUCUCACCGUAAAAUAUGGAUCAAUGUUCCUGGGUGAAGCAUGACUCAACCAACAGUGAAUUAAUUAAUGUAACUUAUAGGGUAAAAAUUAGACUGUUCCUGACUGGUCAAUUAGGGAAAUAUAUUUAGUAUUGAAAUGCUAAUACAGUACAAGUUACUGUAAAUGGUUAAAUAAUAAUGAUAGUCUACUGUAUAAUUAUGUAAAGACUGUAUUUUGCUAUAGUUCCUGAUAAAACAUUAACCAUGAGUGGAUGUGGGAGGAGAGGGCGUGUACGGCAAACUCUCUAAAGUACUGACAAUUUGGGGUGGAAAGUGCAGGAAUGAGAUAAAAGUCAUGCGUUAGGUCAUUAGUGGUGACCUAACUCUGAAGGGCUAACAAAGAACAACACAAUUCUUAAAAUAUCAACCAUGGUGAGCUUAUUGGGUGAGAGUUGUAUCAGAUAAGAGCCUCUUCCACUCCUGCUAGCUGUGUACAGUGAGGGAGAUUAUAUGAAGAGAGAUAGUUAAGGUAUGACUUUACUGGUUAAGGUAAUGUCUCAGUAUCAAUUUUGAGGUUAAUUUUGGACAUGAUGUGUAUGAUUCAGCUUCAGCAGUAGUUAGGUUUAUUCCAUAGGCAGGAGAGAGUGACAUAAGGUUGUGUAAAUGUAUGUAGUGAAGACAAUGUCAAGAGUUAAUUUUGAGCUAAAAUUGGUAGAUAUUUUUACAAUUAUAUGUUCCCUGGACUCCCCUUGGACACAGCCUGGAAUCAUUACACUCUUGCCUGGCAUGUUCAGCUUGUUACACCUACUCUCAAUAUAUAUAACCAUCUUUAGUAACUAUUAAUUUUAAAUACAGUACUAUGAUCAAAGUUCAAUUGCAAUGGGGGGGCCAUAAACAAGUGAGUAUGGAUAGUUGUGAUGGCCAUAACUGGGUGAGUGGUCAGUCUCGGCCUCACACCACAACACUAUCAAUACCGUGCGAUAUAAAAAUACAUUCCCUAUUUGUUGAGCCGUGAUAUAGCAGUUAUUUACCGUUCUCAUUAUACAGUAUGAUGUACUUAUGUGUGUACUGAUAAAUAUAAACAUUUUAUUGGUACUGUACAGGGUAUUUCAGAUUCGUGGCACCUGACAAAACGUGCACCACUGGCAAUAUCUGUAUGUAUUAAAAUAACGAUCUCAAGUUCUCUUUUUUUUACCGUGUACAGUACAAACAAUCCAGGGUGUUAAAAUACAAACAGGAGUCUAUUGUAUACUGUAAUAGUUAUAAUAAAGAGGCUCAAUCUAAACAUUCUUCAUGGAGACUCAAGAUGUGGGGUUUGUUACAUAUUCAGCCACUGGAGAAAAAAAAAUUUAAAUGAUGAACUUUUGGAGAAAUUUACAGAAAAAGAAGUACUGUGUGUCUGAUAGAAUGGUAACGACUCUUAAUAAACAGGUAAAUUGCCAAAGCACCUGAACAAUAAUUAAAGGGAAAAUUAUGCAUGGGUAAAAGUAAGCAAGAUUACCAUGUGUUUUGGUCCUUAUGGCAAUGAAAGCUUGUGAGAUUUGAUUAUGAAAUGAGGAGAGUGUAUACCAGUUGAUUAACCCCUUCACUAUGGGGACGCCACUUUCAGUAUUUCACGGCCAUUAGUAGACGAUUUUAUUCAGCUCAGAGGCGACCCCAGUACACAAGGGGUUAACAGAUGGAUUUUUUUAAUGAGGGACGUGAAGAAUAAGAGAGUUUUAAUGGACACAUGAUUGUCUUAUUUGGUUUGGCUGUAAUGAUAGCCUCGAGGCAGACCUCCCAUAACAGAGCCUGGUCUAAGGUAUUUUCACUUAAAGGACACAAAAAAACAACUUAUUUUCAUACAUAUACA